rnacentral:rRNA from 1 species
AUGAUCGCCGUGAAGAGGAUCGCAUCAUCGCUAAUUCCAGGCCAGCAGAAACAAUUCGAGCGUGAGGUGUACCAUCUUAUGGUGCUAAAGCACCCAAAUAUUGUGCGGUGCGUAGGCUACUGCUACGAGACACAUAAUGCAUGUUUGGAGUACAACGGGAAAUACGUUUUCGCAGAGACGGCAGAGAGGUUACUUUGCUUGGAGUAUACGCCCAAGGGAAGUCUCAAUAAGUAUCUGACAGAUGAAUCUUCUGGACGUGAUUGGAGCACACGCUAUAAUAUAAUCGAGGGGAUUUGCUACGGUUUGUGUCAUCUUCACGAGCAAAUGGAUAAGCCUAUUCUUCACCUUGAUCUAAAACCUGCCAACAUAUUGCUCGAUGACGGUAUGCUCCCAAAAAUUACAGACUUUGGUCUGUCAAGACUACUUGAUCAAAAACAAAGUAUUUGCACUUCAUCUCGGGAUGGAACAUUUGGUUACAUGGCGCCAGAAUUUUUAAAUGGAGGUAAAAUUACACCAAAAUCAGAUAUAUUCAGUUUGGGUGUAAUUAUCUUGGAGGUAGUAACAGGACACAGGGACUACCCGGACGUUACUAGAACUCCUUCAGAUGAAUUUAUCGAGCUUACUAUUAGAAAAUGGAGAAAUGUGUUACAGAGAACGCCGGGGUACUGGUCACUAAGAAUAGAUUGCCAACAAAUAAAGAGAUGCCUGCAGGUAGGCCUAAUCUGUGUGAAUGCUGAACGCGCAAAGAGGCCUCCGGUAGCGAAGGUUAUCAGUAUGCUUCGAGGAUAGGAAUGUAUUGAUUAUAGCAUUUUGGAAUGA